GACGAACGCUGGCGGCGUGCUUAACACAUGCAAGUCGAACGGAAAGGCCCUGCUUUUGUGGGGUGCUCGAGUGGCGAACGGGUGAGUAACACGUGAGUAACCUGCCCUUGACUUUGGGAUAACUUCAGGAAACUGGGGCUAAUACCGGAUAGGAGCUCCUGCUGCAUGGUGGGGGUUGGAAAGUUUCGGCGGUUGGGGAUGGACUCGCGGCUUAUCAGCUUGUUGGUGGGGUAGUGGCUUACCAAGGCUUUGACGGGUAGCCGGCCUGAGAGGGUGACCGGCCACAUUGGGACUGAGACACGGCCCAGACUCCUACGGGAGGCAGCAGUGGGGAAUAUUGCACAAUGGGCGGAAGCCUGAUGCAGCAACGCCGCGUGCGGGAUGACGGCCUUCGGGUUAUAAACCGCUUUCGCCUGUGACGAAGCGUGAGUGACGGUAAUGGGUAAAGAAGCACCGGCUAACUACGUG
rnacentral:rRNA from 1 species